CAUAUAUCAAGAGUGCGGGGAGGGAACCAGCCUGAGGAUCCGCCGACAACCUAGAAGUUAAAGGCUUCAAAAGGUGCCAAAGCUGGAAACGAUAUGGG
rnacentral:ncRNA from 2 species